rnacentral:rRNA from 1 species
UACAGAGGUCUCAAGCGUUGUUCGGAUUCAUUGGGCGUAAAGGGUGCGUAGGCGGCGCGGUAAGUCGGGUGUGAAAUCUCGGAGCUUAACUCCGAAACUGCAUUCGAUACUGCCGUGCUUGAGGACUGGAGAGGAGACUGGAAUUUACGGUGUAGCGGUGAAAUGCGUAGAUAUCGUAAGGAAGACCAGUGGCGAAGGCGAGUCUCUGGACAGCAACUGACGCUGAGGCACGAAGGCCAGGGGAGCAAACGGG